rnacentral:lncRNA from 1 species
UCAUUUAUGACGGAUGUAUGAUGAAGGAACUGGCAUCGGCAUCAACACAUACAAUGUCAAAUUUGCGGUGGGCGACAAGACGUGGAGAAAAGAAAUCGAAAGAGAAGAAAACAAAUAUGUGAGCCGAGAAAACAAGGACAAGACAUCUAGAAAAUGCGGAGAGAGCGACUAAAGAAGAAAUUGCAAGCAGGGACAGAGACAUGCCCUGGGCAGCCUGGGGGCAUAAGGCUUUUUUUUGUUCCGUACUAACUUUGAUGAUUUGACCUGGGUCUUCUUUUUUUUUAGAACACCUGGGUCUUGCUUGGUAAUUUUAUUGAUCUGAAGUAAUGGUCAUGGGCUUGACGAAAUCCUGCCUCCGGCCCUGGCUGCAAGAGAAGAAAAAGAAGAUGAGCAUUCGUGCGAGAGGCUUAGGGUGUGUUCGGCAACCCACCAGCUUCCCAGAAAUCCUUCG